GACGAACCGUCCAACCGUUAUUCGGAAUCACUGGGCUUAAAGGGUGCGUAGGCGGCGCGGAAAGUUGGGUGUGAAAUCCCUCGGCUCAACCGAGGAACUGCGCCCAAAACUACCGUGCUCGAGGAAGAUAGAGGUGAGCGGAACUUAGGGUGGAGCGGUGAAAUGCGUUGAUAUCCUAAGGAACACCGGUGGCGAAAGCGGCUCACUGGAUCUUUUCUGACGCUGAGGCACGAAAGCUAGGGUAGCGAACGGG
rnacentral:rRNA from 1 species